AUGCAGUCGAACGGGCAGCCUCUUUCGGGAGGCUGUCAGUGGCAGACGGCUGAGUAACGCGUGGGUGACGUACCUGUUGGUGGGGAAUAACUGCCCGAAAGGGUGGCUAAUACCGCAUAGGUCCUUCGGAUCGAUCCGACGGACAAAGCUUCGCAAGAGGCGCCGAUGGAGCGGCCCGCGUCCGAUUAGCUAGUUGGUGGGGUAACGGCCUACCAAGGCGUCGAUCGGUAGCUGGUCUCAGAGGAUGAUCAGCCAGACUGGGACUGAGACACGGCCCAGACUCCUACGGGAGGCAGCAGUUAGGAAUUUUGGGCAAUGGGCGCAAGCCUGACCCAGCAACGCCGCGUGGGUGAAGAAGGCCUUCGGGUUGUAAAGCCCUUUUCUGAGGGAAGAUGAUGACGGUACCUCAGGAAGAAGCACCGGCUAGCUACGUGCCAGCAGCCGCGGUAAUACGUAGGGUGCGAGCGUUGCCCGGAUUUAUUGGGCGUAAAGGGCGCGUAGGCGGCCGCGCACGUCCGUUGUGAAAUCGCCCGGCUCAACUGGGCGGGGUCGGCGGAUACGGCGCGGCUGGAGCAAGCUAGGGGGCAAUGGAAUUCCCGGUGUAGUGGUGGAAUGCGUAGAUAUCGGGAGGAACACCAGUGGCGAAGGCGGUUGCCUGGAGCUUUGCUGACGCUGAUGCGCGAAAGCGUGGGGAGCGAUCCGGAUUAGAUACCCGGGUAGUCCACGCCGUAAACGAUGCCGACUANGUGUCGGGGGUAUCGACCCCCUCGGCGCCGGAGCUAACGCAUUAAGUCGACCGCCUGGGGACUACGGCCGCAAGGGUUGAAACUCAAAGGAAUUGACGG
rnacentral:rRNA from 1 species